AAUCUUGCGCAAUGGGCGACAGCCUGACGCAGCCAUGCCGCGUGAAUGAUGAAGGUCUUAGGAUUGUAAAAUUCUUUCACUGGGGCCGAUAAUGACGGUACCCGGAGAAUAAGCUCCGGCGAACGUCGUGCCAGCAGCCGCGGUAAUACGAAGGGGGCUAGCGUUGCUCGGAAUUACUGGGCGUAAAGGGCGCGUAGGCGGAUCGUUAAGUCAGAGGUGAAAUCCCAGGGCUCAACCCUGGAACUGCCUUUGAUACUGGCGAUCUUGAGUAUGAGAGAGGUAUGUGGAACUCCGAGUGUAGAGGUGAAAUUCGUAGAUAUUCGGAAGAACACCAGUGGCGAAGGCGACAUACUGGCUCAUUACUGACGCUGAGGCGCGAAAGCGUGGGGAGCAAACAG
rnacentral:rRNA from 1 species